GCAGUCGAACGGUAACAGGAAUUAGCUUGCUAAUUUGCUGACGAGUGGCGCACGGGUGCGUAACGCGUAUACAAUCUACCUUUUGCUGAGGGAUAGCCCAGAGAAAUUUGGAUUAAUACCUCAUGGUAUUAUUGAUAGGCAUCUAUUAAUAAUUAAAGGUUACGGCAAAAGAUGAGUAUGCGUCCCAUUAGCUAGUUGGUGAAGUAACGGUUCACCAAGGCAACGAUGGGUAGGGGUCCUGAGAGGGAGAUCCCCCACACUGGUACUGAGACACGGACCAGACUCCUACGGGAGGCAGCAGUGAGGAAUAUUGGACAAUGGGCGAGAGCCUGAUCCAGCCAUGCCGCGUGCAGGAAGACUGCCCUAUGGGUUGUAAACUGCUUUUAUACAGGAAGAAUAAGCCUUACGUGUAAGGUGAUGACGGUACUGUAAGAAUAAGGACCGGCUAACUCCGUGCCAGCAGCCGCGGUAAUACGGAGGGUCCGAGCGUUAUCCGGAAUUAUUGGGUUUAAAGGGUCCGUAGGCGGAUGAUUAAGUCAGGGGUGAAAGUUUGCAGCUCAACUGUAAAAUUGCCUUUGAUACUGGUCAUCUUGAGUUGUAUUGAAGUA
rnacentral:rRNA from 1 species